rnacentral:rRNA from 1 species
GGCAGGCUUAAUACAUGCAAGUCGAACGCCAGCGGGUCCAGCCAAUGGAUGCCGGCGAGUGGCGCACGGGUGCGUAACACGUAUGCAACCUACCUUUAACCGGGACAUAACCUCGAGAAAUCGUGGCUAAUAUUCCAUAAUAUCUUUGAAUCGCAUGGUUUGAAGAUCAAAAUUCCGAUGGUUUUAGAUGGGCAUGCGCGACAUUAGCUAGUUGGUGAGGUAAUGGCUCACCAAGGCUACGAUGUUUAGGGGGUCUGAGAGGAUGAUCCCCCACACUGGUACUGAGACACGGACCAGACUCCUACGGGAGGCAGCAGUAAGGAAUAUUGGGCAAUGGGCGCAAGCCUGACCCAGCCAUGCCGCGUGCAGGAUGACAGCCCUACGGGUUGUAAACUGCUUUUAUACGGGAAAAAACCCUCUGACGUGUCAGAGGCUGAUGGUACCGUAAGAAUAAGCAUCGGCUAACUCCGUGCCAGCAGCCGCGGUAAUACGGAGGAUGCAAGCGUUAUCCGGAUUUACUGGGUUUAAAGGGUGCGCAGGCGGAACGACAAGUCAGUGGUGAAAUCUCCUGGCUCAACCAGGAAACUGCCAUUGAUACUAUCGUUCUUGAGUCCAGUUGAAGUAGGCGGAAUGUAGCAUGUAGCGGUGAAAUGCUUAGAUAUGCUACAGAACACCGAUAGCGAAGGCAGCUUACUAAACUGAAACUGACGCUCAUGCACGAAAGCGUGGGGAUCAAACAGGAUUAGAUACCCUGGUAGUCCACGCCCUAAACGAUGAUCACUCGUUGUUGGCAACUAUAUCGUCAGCGACUAAGCGAAAGCAU